UACAGAGGUCCCAAGCGUUGUUCGGAUUCACUGGGCGUAAAGGGUGCGUAGGCGGUCGGGUAAGUCUGACGUGAAAUCUUCAAGCUCAACUUGGAAACUGCGUCCGAUACUAUUCGGCUAGAGGAAUGGAGGGGAGACUGGAAUACUUGGUGUAGCAGUGAAAUGCGUAGAUAUCAAGUGGAACACCUGCGGCGAAGGCGGGUUGCUGGGCUGACACUGACGCUGAGGCGCGAAAGCUAGGGGAGCGAACGGG
rnacentral:rRNA from 1 species